rfam:Glycine max cultivar Williams 82 chromosome 1, whole genome shotgun sequence.
UGGACAUGUGUGCAAGUCAACGAGCAAGUAAACCUGUAAGGCUCAAGGAAGCUGAUUGGUGGGAUCCCCCUGUGGGUUGCACCACCGACCGACCCUAAUCUUCUGUGAAGGGUUCGAGUGAGAGCAUACCUGUCGGGACCCGAAAGAUGGUGAACUAUGCCUGAGCAGGGCGAAGCCAGAGGAAACUCUGUUGGAGGCCCGCAACGAUACUAACGUGCAAAUCGUUUGUCUGACUUGGGUAUAGGGGUGAAAGACUAAUCAAACCAUCUAGUAAUUGG